UGAGUACGAGAUGCUACGGCAUCGAAGCAGUCUAUGUCAUACUUCCAAGAAAAGCUUGCACUGUCAUAAACAAAGAAUGCCUGUACCAUAACCGACACAGGUGGGUAGGUAGAGUAUACUAAGGGGCGCGAGAUAACUCUCUCUAAGGAACUCGGCAAAAUGACUCCGUAACUCCGGGAGAAGGAGUGCCUUAUUUCUAAGGUUGCAAUAACAAGAUCCAAGCAACUGUUUACCAAAAACACAGGUCUCCGCUAAGUCGUAAGACGAUGUAUGGGGGCUGACGCCUGCCCAGUGCCAGAAGGUUAAAGAAGUUGGUUAGCAUUAGCGAAGCUGAUAACUGAAGCCCUGGUGAACGGCGGCCGUAACAAUAACGGUCCUAAGGUAGCGAAAUUCCUUGUCGGGUAAGUUCCGACCCGCACGAAAGGCGUAAUGAUUUGGAUACUGUCUCGGAGAGGGGCUCGGUGAAAUAGACUUGUCUGUGAAGAUGCGGACUACCUGCACCUGGACAGAAAGACCCUAUGAAGCUUUACUGUAACUUGAGAUUGAAAUUGGACUUUAUUUGCGCAGUAUAGGUGGGAGGCGUUGAGAAUAAUCUUGCGGGAUUGUUGGAGCCAUCAGUGAGAUACCACUCUUGUAAUGUUAGAUUUCUAACUUUGUAUCAUUAUCUGGUCAAAGAACAGUUUCAGGCGGGCAGUCUGACUGGGGCGGUCGCCUCCCAAAGGGUAACGGAGGCGCACAAAGGUUUCCUCUGAACGGGUAGAAAUCGUAUCUAGAGUGUAAAGGCAUAAGGAAGCUUGACUGUGAGACCUACAAGUCGAGCAGGGACGAAAGUCGGUCUUAGUGAUCUGACGGUGCUGAGUGGAAAGGCCGUCACUCAACGGAUAAAGGUUACUCUAAGGAUAACAGGCUGAUCUCCCCCAAGAGUUCACAUCGACGGGGAGGUUUGGCACCUCGAUGUCGGCUCAUCGCAUCCUGGGGCGGUAGUCCGUCCCAAGGGUUGGGCUGUUCGCCCAUGAAAGCGGUACGCGAGCUGGGUUCAGAACGUCGUGAGACAGUUCGGUCCAUAUCCGGUGUAGGCGUUAGAAUAUUGAGAGGAGCCUUCUCUAGUACGAGAGGACCGAGAAGGACAUACCUCUGGUGUACCAGUUAUCGUGCCAACGGUAAACGCUGGGUAGCUAUGUAUGGAGUGGAUAACCGCUGAAAGCAUCUAAGUGGGAAGCCCACCUCAAGAUAAGUAUUCUCAUC
rnacentral:rRNA from 1 species